UAAGGGACACGUGUUACAAUUAGAGAGAGUUUGGUCUGAAACUCCUUUCUCUCUCUCAACGAGCAAAGAGAUGAUUCACUACUCCUCUUCUUCUUCUCGGUUGAUCUCCUCCUCAGCAACACCAAAGCGUUGAAUUGGCAAAAAGGGCCCAUCUUGUGUUCGAUGAUAUUCCCCAGAGAGAAAAGGCGAAGACUUUUUUGUAUUUGGGAUUUUUGUGUUGUUUUGUGGGAGGGAAUAGAGAGAGAUGGCAGGUGAAGAUUGGAUAGAGCUCAAGUUUAAAUUCGCUGAUGGCCUAAAGCUAACAUAUGUUCCAUCGUUAUGUUUGCUUGUAUAAAAAAAAACUUCAUAUUCUUUAGUUCUUGUUUCUGCCUUUCCAUCAUUUUCUUUGUUUCUGUAAUGUUUUAAUGUCUACCGAACGUUUUAUUGGCUUAAGUUAUUAGGUACUGAACUUUGUAAAUUUGAGAAUUUAACAGAUAAUUAAAAGGUUAUACUGUGGCAAGAAGAUUGAUGACCGAAGUUGUGUAUUGCUUUUCGCUGUUUAGAUGUUUUGUAACCUUGUUUAGAAUUUUCUUGCUGCUUAAGGUUGUGUUGGGACUGAAGUUUUCAAGUGUUUCUCUCUGUUUUGAUAGACUCAGAAAACAUUCCUAAGACUGUAAAUGAUGUGAAGCUCAUCAAUGCCGGGAAGAUACUAGACAACAAUAGGACACUGGCUGAAUCAACGCUUCCCGUUGGCGAACUUCCCGGAAUGGUCAUCACUAUGCAUGUUGUUCUUCGCCCUCCUACUUUAGACAAAAAGAGCCGUAAAUGUUUCUUUGCCUUCCUCCUAUGCUAAUAUAAAAGCAGGCUUCCUUUGAUUCUCUAGUUGCUUGUGAUUAUGGUAUUCAGAUUCCAAACUUCCAUGUUUUGCAAAUGGUUUUAUACAUAUAUUCCUAUAAAUUUUAUCUUAAAUAAAACAAUGCUUAAUUUUU